rnacentral:rRNA from 1 species
CCUACGGGAGGCAGCAGUGGGGAAUAUUGCACAAUGGGGGAAACCCUGAUGCAGCGAUGCCGCGUGAGUGAAGAAGGAAUUCGGUAUGUAAAGCUCUAUCAGCAGGGAGGAAAACGACGGUACUUGAGUACGAGGCCCUGGCUAUUAACGUCCAAGCAGCCGCGGGAAUACGUAGGGGGAAAGCGUUUGCCGGAUUUCCUGGGUGUAAAGGGAGUGGGGACGGCAGGGCAAGUAUGGAGUGAAAGGCGGGGCUUCAACCCCCGGACUUCUCUGGAAACUGUACGGGUGGAGUGCAGGAGAGGUAGGUGGAAUUCCUAGUGUAGCGGUGAAAUGCGUAGAUAUUAGGAGGAACACCAGUGGCGAAGGCGGCUUACUGGACUGUAACUGACGUUGAGGCUCGAAAGCGUGGGGAGCAAACAGGAUUAGAUACCCGUGUAGUC